CAUUGUUUUCAGUUCUCAGAACGUCUGUGGCUUCACGUGGCCCCACAGAACUGCCUCUGCCAGAGCAAAACGCAUCUCAAGAUCUGAUGCUGAGCAGCACUGCAUCAAUGGAGCCAGAUGAAUUUGCAUCUCAAGAUCUACUUCUGUGCAGCAGCCCCACACCACCGGAGCCAGAUGAGUUUGGUAUGAAAAGUCCUAGCAUGCUGUUUUUAUGCACUUUUUAUGAAACUUGAGUAAAUGAGUGUUAGUGUAAAUGUCACUUCUACAGUGGUUAGUGUUAUAAUUAAUUUUGGCCUAUGCCUUGCGACAACUGUCUGUGACAGCGCAGUCAAAGCUAUGUGGGCAGAGCUUCUGCACAUGCCUUACUA